AGUGAACGCUGGCGGUAGGCCUAACACAUGCAAGUCGAACGGCAGCACAGUAAGAGCUUGCUCUUACGGGUGGCGAGUGGCGGACGGGUGAGGAAUACAUCGGAAUCUACUUUUUCGUGGGGGAUAACGUAGGGAAACUUACGCUAAUACCGCAUACGACCUACGGGUGAAAGCAGGGGAUCUUCGGACCUUGCGCGAUUGAAUGAGCCGAUGUCGGAUUAGCUAGUUGGCGGGGUAAAGGCCCACCAAGGCGACGAUCCGUAGCUGGUCUGAGAGGAUGAUCAGCCACACUGGAACUGGGACACGGUCUAGACUCCUACGGGAGGCAGCAGUGGGGAAUAUUGGACAAUGGGCGCAAGCCUGAUCCAGCCAUACCGCGUGGGUGAAGAAGGCCUUCGGGUUGUAAAGCCCUUUUGUUGGGAAAGAAAAGCAGCAGGUUAAUACCCCGCUGUUCUGACGGUACCCAAAGAAUAAGCACCGGCUAACUUCGUG
rnacentral:rRNA from 1 species